CUCUUGUGAAAUCUAAUGGCUUAACCAUUAAACUGCUUGGGAAACUGAUAGUCUAGAGUGAGGGAGAGGUAGAUGGAAUUGGUGGUGUAGGGGUAAAAUCCGUAGAUAUCACCAAGAAUACCCAUUGCGAAGGCGAUCUGCUGGAACUCAACUGACGCUAAGGCGCGAAAGCGUGGGGAGCAAACAGGAUUAGAUACCCUGGUAGUCCACGCCCUAAACGAUGUACACUAGUUGUUGGGAUGCUAGUCAUCUCAGUAAUGCAGCUAACGCAUUAAGUGUACCGCCUGGGGAGUACGGUCGCAAGAUUAAAACUCAAAGGAAUAGACGGGGACCCGCACAAGCGGUGGAGCAUGUGGUUUAAUUCGAAGAUACGCGAAGAACCUUACCUGGGCUUGAUAUCCUAAGAACCUUAUAGAGAUAUGAGGGUGCUAGCUUGCUAGAACUUAGAGACAGGUGCUGCACGGCUGUCGUCAGCUCGUGUCGUGAGAUGUUGGGUUAAGUCCCGCAACGAGCGCAACCCACGUAUUUAGUUGCUAACGGUUCGGCCGAGCACUCUAAAUAGACUGCCUUCGUAAGGAGGAGGAAGGUGUGGACGACGUCAAGUCAUCAUGGCCCUUAUGCCCAGGGCGACACACGUGCUACAAUGGCAUAUACAAUGAGACGCAAUACCGCGAGGUGGAGCAAAUCUAUAAAAUAUGUCCCAGUUCGGAUUGUUCUCUGCAACUCGAGAGCAUGAAGCCGGAAUCGCUAGUAAUCGUAGAUCAGCCAUGCUACGGUGAAUACGUUCCCGGGUCUUGUACUCACCGCCCGUCACACCAUGGGAGUUGAUUUCACUCGAAGCCGGAAUACUAAA
rnacentral:rRNA from 1 species